GGUAGUGCCGGUGGUUGAUAUAAGAAGCCCUCCAAGGAUACGUCAAGGAAUUUGUUACAACAGAUUUGAAUAAUAAUUCGGUGAAAAACGGUGUACGGAGAUAUCAUUGCGAUGUGUUACAAGUGGUUGUGAAUUCGUGGAGUGGAUUUCAUCAAAAUAGAGGCAAAUAAUAAAUCAGUUUCGCAUUUGAAAUGCGGGUGCUUGCUGUGGUGGCAGUUUUUACUGCUUUGGUGACAACCACUCACGAGGCACCCCAAGACGUUAUUGGAUACGACACAAAUGACAACACUCGUGAAGCAUAUUUUAAUGGCUCUGCUUUUCUGAGGCUUGCAUCAACUAUUUCUGUACACCGGCACAGUGGGCUGAGUUUUAGAACGUGCGAUGGUGGAAAAUUGUUCACACAACAUUUUGGUUCGGACUUCAUAAGCCUGGAAGUCACUUCGGAGGGAUUGUUGUUCCUGGCUUCUAUCAAUCAGCAACGAUACGAGGCGAAACUAAACGCCAAACUAUUGAAUAAUGCUUGGUAUAACGUGAAUCUGUUAUUCAGGUUGGGCAAUUUCACCCUCAGUGCUGCUGGGCAUACACAGGUGAUUGCCAAUGCCACGUAUAACUCAGCUGUCUUGAUGCUACCAGAAUACGACGAGAACGGACCUCUUAUAAUUGGCGAAGGCUUCAAAGGAUGUAUCUUACAAGGACCUGGUAUUUUAUUCCGACGAAACGAGACUAUCAAUAGCGGAGCUAUUUUCGGAGCAUGUCCUUUGGAAUCCAAAGGCUGUGGUCCACAUAGCGCCGGUGGCCUAGCGGCAUCAACUGUUUCCUCAUCAGACUUCUGCCAUCACGAACCAUGCAUGAUGCAUGGAACCUGCGUCUCUCGACAGGAUCGCUAUGAGUGCCAUUGUUACGCCCGGUACUCGGGCAACAACUGUCAAAUCGAUAAUGGUCCUCCGUGUCUCAGUAGUCCUUGUCGAAACGGUGGGAUAUGCUCUGAAGAUUCAGAUGGCAAUUAUAGCUGUAGCUGCACUCCAGGAUUCACUGGAACGUUUUGUGAAUCGCAGCUAGGAGUCAGUUUGUGUGAACUCAAUCCAUGCAAAAAUGACGGAGUGUGCUUUGCUUUGGCAGAUAGUGAAUACAGAUGUGAGUGUAACCCUGGAUGGUCGGGCAAAAAUUGCGAAGUCAAUAUCAAUGAAUGUGCAUCAAAUCCUUGUAAGCAUGGAGGUACAUGCAUUGAUGGUAUAAAUAAUUAUACCUGUCGUUGCGACAGGACAGGGUAUCGAGGUUUCAACUGUGAGCUAAAUAUCGACGAGUGUUUGCAUAAUCCAUGCUUGAAUAAUGGCGAAUGCUUUGACAAUUAUGGAGGAUACAUUUGCCGGUGUCCUUUGGGCCUUGAAGGUCAGAAUUGUGAACUAAACUUGAAUGAAUGCUUAUCCAGCCCUUGUCUUAAUGGAGGAAGUUGCAUUGACGAGGUUGGCAGUUAUCACUGUAAUUGUUUGCCUGGUUUUACGGGUCCGCACUGUGAAUUACACGGGCUUUGUGAAAAUGCUGCUUGCCCAGCCACUAGCAUUUGUAUCGAAGAUAUCCACGGAGCUCAAUGUGUAUGCAAACCUGGAUUCAUGGGAAUUCCACCAAAUUGUACAGUCAAUUUUUGUGCCAGCAAUCCAUGUACAAACGGAGGUACCUGUUCAAGUAAUAAAGAUGGAUUUAACUGCACAUGCCCCUCAGAGUGGAGAGGAUCAACAUGCACUGCACCUGCUUCUGAUUGGUGCUCGGCAUGUCUGAAUGGGGGUACCUGCAUUGAAACCAUCCGUGGUAUCAUGUGUCAGUGCCCUAGAUUUUGGACAGGACCUCAAUGUGAACAACAAACCACCUGUAGAGACAUGCCUUGCAAGCAAGCAUCUGCUUGCCAUGAUUAUCCAGGCGGCUAUUAUUGCAAUUGUGACCCUGGAUGGACUGGACCAGAAUGCUCGAUUGAUUUGGACGAAUGUGCAAGUGAUCCUUGUCGAAACGGUGCCACUUGCAUCGACGAAAUGAAUAGUUACUACUGCCAGUGUCUGCCUGGCUAUACUGGGAAAAACUGUCAGAUUAACAUUGACGAAUGUCUUUCGCAACCUUGCCAAAACGGAGGAAUAUGCAUCGACCAAAUCAAUGGAUAUUUUUGUAAUUGUACCCGUGAUUUUAUGGGAGACUAUUGUGAACAAGAGUACGACGCUUGUGGUAUCAACCCCUGUAUGAACAAUGGUACCUGCACUCUUGUGGCCAGAUCAAGAAGAGAUUACGUUUGCGAGUGUCUUCCAGGAUUCGAAGGAAAGAUUUGUGAUAUCGAUCUUGAUGACUGUGUCGAUGCCAAAUGUCCGGAUGACCAGAUUUGUAUUGACGGAAUUGCUGGUUACGAAUGUAAAUGUAGGGAUGGAUACAUUGGUCCAAAUUGCACUUUAAUUGUUGAUCAUUGUGCAACGAAACCAUGUAACAAUGGUACAUGCACUGAUCUAGGUGAUAAAUUCAAAUGCGAUUGCAACGAUGGAUAUACUGGAGUGCUUUGUGAUAAAGACAUAGACGAAUGCGAAAUACUGGGGAGUUCCUUGUGUAAUAACGGUAUCUGCAUUAAUAAAGAUGGUGGAUACAAUUGCUUUUGCCGACCCGGGUUCUCGGGAGAUCAUUGCGAUAUGGAUAUUGAUGAGUGUUUAUGUAAUCCUUGCAAGAAUAAUGCAACCUGCGUUGACAGAAUAAACUCCUUCGAAUGUCGAUGUCCAUUGGGAUAUUCCGGAAAAACAUGCGACAUAGAUGUGGACGAAUGCGAAAGCAAUCCGUGUUUGAAUGGUGCAACCUGCGUGGAUAACGUUGCAGCGUACAUUUGCGUAUGUUCGAUUGGUUUCACAGGAUACAAUUGUGAAACAAAUAUUGAUGAUUGCAAGUCAUCGCCAUGCCUGAAUUAUGGUGAAUGCAUCGAUGGAAUAAAUAAUUAUACUUGCAAUUGCGCUAAUACUGGGUUUGAGGGCUUUCACUGUGAAUCCAAUAUCAACGAUUGCCUAUCAGCACCCUGUAUGAACGGUGCCACAUGCACGGAUGAUAUAAAGACUUAUAAGUGCGAAUGUUAUACCGGAUACACGGGCCCGAAUUGCGAAGUAGACAUCAAUGAAUGUGAGAGUUCUCCCUGCCAGUUCAAUGGUACUUGUCUAGAAAGAUCAAACAGAGAAUUGUACAAAAGUGACGCUUUAACAUUGCCAGCAAUAUUCACGCAAAACUUUAGUUAUGCAGAUGCUAGUGGGUAUGAAUGCAUUUGCGUACAAGGUGUAAUGGGUCGAAAUUGCGAAACUAAUAUCGAUGAAUGUCAGAGUAAUCCAUGUUUGUCUGGAACAUGCAUGGAUAGAAUUGGUGGAUACAAGUGCGAAUGUGAUGAAGGCUUUGAAGGAGAUCAUUGUCAAAGCGACAUCGAUGAGUGCAAAAGGUAUUCACCAUGCGAACAUGGUAUAUGCACAGAUGGGAGAGCAGAUUACUUUUGCACAUGUGAGCCUGAGUUCGGUGGGAAGAAUUGUUCAGUGCCAUUAAUCGGUUGCCAAGGCAAUGCCUGUCAUAACGGUGGUACUUGUUGGCCAUACCUGAUUGACGAAACUGAGCAUAGGUUCAACUGUACCUGCCCCAAUGGAUUUCAUGGAGAGAUAUGUGAUAAUAUAACGACUAUGUCACUGCGAGGCAGUUCUUAUGUCAUGGUGAACACAACUCGAGAUGAAGGGUACGACAUACAGUUUCGAUUUCGAACGACUCUUCCUAACGGUCUGAUAGCGAUGGGCAAAGGCUCCACAUUUUAUAUCCUGGAACUAGUCAAUGGGAAGCUAAAUCUGCAUUCCAGUAUCUUGAACAGAUGGGAAGGCGUAUUCAUUGGCAGUGGUCUAAGCGACUCUAAUUGGCAUAAAGUGUUUGUUGCCAUAAACACAACCCACUUAGUUCUAUCUGCUAAUGAAGAGCAAACAAUUUAUCCUAUUAAUUUAAAUGAAGGAAACGCUAGUCACACAUCUUUUCCAACUACUUUCAUUGGUGGUACAAUAAGUUAUCUUAGCGGAUUGGCACAUGGCCCACCAUUCUUUGUUGGCUGCACUGAAGAUGUUGUCAUCAAUAGCGAAUGGAUAUAUACUGGACUAACGUCCAAAACGGUUUUCAUGGAAGACGUAGAACCAGGCUGCCCUCGUGAAGAACAAUGUGCGCCAAAUCCUUGUAAAAACGGCGGUCAUUGCACGGACAGAUGGAGAGAUUUCUCCUGCAGAUGUGAGCGUCCGUAUCUUGGCCAUACAUGCCAAUACAACAUGACAGCUGCCACUUUUGGAUAUCAAAAUAUCACCGAUGGUUAUGUGACAGUAAAAGUAACUGAUAUGGCAAGGCGUGCCAUCAGGUCCAUUGUAGAUAUAUCAAUGUUUAUCAGGACCCGACAGGACACAGGCGAUAUCUUUUAUUUGGGAUCUGAAUCUAGUACACAGUUUGAUGGAAAACAAGAAAAACCUUACAUUCGUGCCCUUCUUGAACACGGAGAGUUGUUAGUGAAAAUACAGUUCAAUGGAUCAGAGGCAUACGCUGUCGGCGGUGUGAAAUUAAAUGAAGGAAAUUAUCACUUGAUUCAAGUUGUUAGAAACGUGACUCUGGUGCAAGUUAAAAUAAAUGGAACUGAAUAUUUCCGAAAGACAAUUGGAGCUACAGGGCAAUCGAAUGUGACGGUUUUGUAUUUAGGAGGUUUGCCUCAGACUUCCAGAUACAGUAGACAAGCCGAUAGUCGCCAAAUGGAGGUGCAACAAUCACCUCAAGUCAAUUUUAAAGGCAUAAUACAAGAUGUGCAAAUAUCAAACGGAUCCAAAACCAUGGUAGUUGAGUUCUAUCCACUGACUGCAAAAGAUAUACCCACACCAAUUGAAUUUGGAUCAGUGUCAUUCGACAGGACAAAAGUUUUGGAGGGUGUAGUUUCUGAUCCUGUUUGUACUAGUAACCCGUGUUAUCAUAACGGUACGUGUCAUGUGACAUGGAACGACUUCUGGUGCAAGUGUCCAAGAGGAUACACAGGAAAAAUGUGUCAAGAAAUGGAGUUUUGCCAACUGCAAGAUUGUCCGACUGGAUCUAAAUGCCAAAAUUUAGAUGACGGAUAUGAAUGUGUGGCUAAUGCUACUUUCAAUGGAAUUAAUGAUAUGUUCACUUACUCAUACAGACAGUCUGAAGAGCAGAAUAUGACAGAAACGAUGAUCGACAGUAUUGAAAUCACAUACCGUUCAAAUACUGGUGGUGUAUUGAUGCAUAUAGCCCCCAAAGAAGGUGGUCAAAGUUUUGCAGUAUCUGUGUUUAGAGAUAACAUAACGAUAUCGUGGAAUUUAGAUACCAGUAAUUACGGGACAUUGUCAUUUGGGAAAAACGAUCCAGAUGGGAAUUGGACGUCAAUUGUGAUUAAAUUAAACAAUGAUUCUAUCGAAUCAGGAUAUGCGAACUCGAAUGAAGAAACAAUACCACAUUAUAGUCCAAACUUUAGUUUUUCCUUAUGGUAUGAACUAUUGUCCAGUGGGACAGUAAGUUUGGGCGGUCUUGCUGGUGAAAUGUCGGACAUCAAUAGUUAUGUAACACUUGGAACAGAAAAUAUCUAUGCAAGUGGAGUUACCAUCGAUGGAAAUUCAGUUGAUUUUCCCCAUCCUAUGCUGACAACUGCAAUCCCACUCCAAAGCAUGAUCUCAGGAGAUGCCUUCAAAGGUUGUCUAGGUGAAGUUAGAAUCGGUUCGAUGCUGUUGCAUUAUUUCAGUUACGAUGAAGUGUAUCGUAACGCUAAUUUCACACCAUCAGAAUAUCUUGCCUUACAAGUAGCAGAUAAUGCGUCAAGCUAUGAAAAUAUUGGCUGUCGAUUAUGUUUUGACAAUGAUUGUCAGAAUGGAGGUCACUGUUUGGAUAAAUCUAAUAGUUAUGUAUGUGAUUGUUUACCUGGUUAUGCAGAGGAUAAUUGUUCUGUGGAUAUAGACGAAUGUGCCGAUAACAGGUGUAAGAAUGGAGCAACCUGCGUGGAUGCUGUGGCAAAUUACAGUUGCGAAUGUAACAAUGGAUGGCAGGGUUGGCAUUGCGAUGAAGAUAUCGAUGAAUGCAUCGGCGUAAAUCCUUGUCAACACGAUGGUGAUUGUGUGAAUCUUCCUGGUUCAUUCUAUUGCGAAUGCUCAGAGCAAUUCACAGGUGAUUUGUGUGAAAGCUUUAAGCUGAUUACAUGUGAAAAUCAACCUUGCAAGAAUGGUUCCACUUGCACUGAUGUAGUAAACACAAAGACUGGGAAGAACUUUACAUGCAAUUGCAUGUCAGGCUACGAAGGAUUGUACUGUGACACUCCAUAUUGUUUUGGUAAUAAGUGUCAGCAUGGUGGAAGUUGCGAUUUUCUCUACCAGACUCCUCGGUGUACCUGUCCUGCUGGUUACAUUGGCGAGUAUUGUGAAACGGAUGAAGACGACUGUGCGGCAGAUGAAAAUGGCAAUUUGCCUUGCAAGAAUGGAGGCAAAUGCACCGAUCAUGUAAACGGUUACACAUGCGAUUGCUUGGGAACAGGGUUUUAUGGUUCUGACUGUUCAAUAGAUGUUGAUGAAUGUACAGAAUCAGAUCACCCUGUAGAUUGCGGGAAUGAAAAAGGGCAGUGCCAUAACUUGCCUGGAAGCUACGAGUGUAUCUGUCAGAUCGGAUAUUGCGGUCAUAACUGUGGGGUUUUGGAUCCAUGUAUUGAAGAACCUUGCCAGAACGAAGGGACGUGCACUUGCCUGGGUGAUUCUGGUUACACCUGUCACUGUACUUCUGAUUAUACCGGACACAAUUGUACAGAGCGUGAGCAUUUUCUGGGUAGUCAAGCACUGGAUAUCGCUGUGAUAGUUGGUCCCAUUGUGGGAUGCUUGCUUUUGAUAGGUGCAGGGUCUUUGAUAGCACUUUUUAUGAUGGCUCGGAAAAAACGUGCAACACGUGGAACGUAUAGCCCGAGUGCGCAGGAGUUCAGUAAUCCUAGAGUAGAGAUGGACAAUGUAAUGAAACCUCCACCGGAAGAAAGAUUGAUCUAGGAUCUAGUGUAUCCAAAAUUCAACGUCAGUUAAACCUAGUCCCCUGAAUAAGUUAUUAACUGUAUUACUCCACAGCCACAAAGAGAUUUUGUAAGCAUUGCUGUUAUCGUGAGAUCGAGUGAAAGUUGAGAUGACUUCCAAAAGCUUAACUGAGUCGCAAACAAUUUCACUUGGUGAAAUGAACAGAAUACAUUCCGUGAUUGUAAAUUUAUGUGUACAUAAAGUAGACAGGCAUUCUUUUCAUCAGAACUCAUACAACUAAAAAACUGGGUUAAGACGAAAAAUUUCUACAUUGCAUUCUUCAUUGAAUCACAUUUUCACUUCCUCACCAGGCAAAUUCUUCAAAACAUUUAUACGUCUAACACCAGUUGACUGUGAGGCUGACUGAAGAUGUGCAACGACCAGCUGAUCUUGGCUAAAAAUAUGAGCCCAUUCUGUGAACCCAAGUGAGCUUGGAAACAAUUUUGCCGUCUACGAUAAACUGCAUCCAUAAUGGCAGGAAACUGAAACUUUCUCCUACCUUCACCUCCGCUCGACUAGCGCAGCAAAGCUCAUAAGGCUGGCUAACUUGUAUCAAGUUCACGUAUUUUUUUACUAUCAUUAUCAUGUGCUGCGGAAUGAAAUCUCGAUAUAUCAGGUAUGAAAUAUAGAUAUCUUUUUUAUUAUUUCUGAAUUUGAACAUGGCUUGUUAUAAAAAUGCAAAUUUUCUAUGAUUGGCAAAAAUGACAAUAAUAACAUAGAUCAAUUUUUGUGAACUAGUAUUAUGAAAAAGCAAUGGCAACGGUAUGCAUCGUUAUAAUUGUGAGUGCACUUUUUGGUUGGUUCGUAUGUGUGCUUAGUAUGAAAUCAACAGUAAUACCCAAACUCAAGAAAUCCAUUCAAAGUGUACUUAAACAAUGCUAAGUGUCCUUAAUAUCGAAUAGUUUAUUCAAUAUCAUUAAGAAAAGCCUCUAAGUAUAAUGUGACCCGUCCAAUUAGUGCCUAAUGUAUUUAGAAACAUUCUAUGAAGCCUGUGUAAUAUACAUACAUAUAUUAUGUGGAGAAAAAUUAUUUUAAUCAUUCCCGACAAUUGACUCAAUGAAAAGAUCUCUGAAGCAUAAUUUGGUGGCUUGACCUAAAUGUGAGCAAUAAAAGCAAAUAUAUAAGUGAAGAAUUAGGAAUACUAAUAACAUCAACAGUAACAAUAAUAGUAGUAGUAAUAACAAUAUCAAUAAGUAUAAUCUAUUUAUAAAUGGUAUGAAAGUACUCAAAUCAUAUAAAUGCAUUUUAUUUUGUCUGACGGGCCUGAGACGUGUUUUGAAACGGCAUUUUGUUAAUUUUUGUAAAUAUUGUAGAUUAUAAGUUAUGAAUAUAGUGAUUUUUUUAUUGUUAAGGUUUCUACGUGUAUGUAGUAUUCGACAUUGAAUGUAUCAUUUGGUAUGUAAAAUUUACCAUGACGACCAAAGUAAUUGUAGUGAAAUCUUUUGUUAACUUGAGCUAAUUUUUCUAGUGCAACAAACUAUAAAUUAAGUGAAAUGUAUAUGAUUUAGGUAAUGAGUGUCAUCGUUGUUAUACAAACAUAACUAACGAAAUUUGUUCUGACCAGUUCUACUGCAACCAGGUAUAGCAUUUUUUUAAUAACUUGUAACUAUUGCGAGUACAGAAAAAAAUCAAUUAUACUUUUCUGAUCC
rnacentral:misc_RNA from 1 species